rnacentral:rRNA from 2 species
UCAACGAUCAUACCAUGUUGAAAACACCGGUUCUCGUCCGAUCACCGAAGUUAAGCAACAUCGGGGCGCGGUUAGGACUAAGAUAGGAGACCGCUUGGGAACGUCGCGUGUCGGGUGGA